rnacentral:miRNA from 1 species
UUUUGAAGAUUAACGUACGUGUGUGUGUGUGUGUGUGUGUGUGUGUGUACACACACACACACACACACACACACACACAGAGGUAUAUAAACCUU